GGAAGUAAAAGUCGAAACAAGGUUUCCGUAGGUGAACCUGCGGAAGGAUCAUUCAUAAUAAGUGUUUUAUGGCACUUUUUUAAAUCCAUAUCCACCUUGUGUGCAAUGUCAGGGUUGAUUUUUCUCUCGAAAGGAUCAGCCCCAAACAUCAACUAUAUCUCAACUCUUUGUCUGAAAAAUAUUAUGAAUAAAACAAUUCAAAAUACAACUUUCAACAACGGAUCUCUUGGCUCUC
rnacentral:misc_RNA from 1 species